CACUGUGACUUUCCUACCACCUCUCCCUCCACUCAGACGUGGAGUCAAGCUUGAGGAAUGCAAUGGGAAUGGGAACUGGUGGCUGGCUGUGUGGACAGAAGGCAGAGAACUGAAAAAUCUUAUGAGAUUCUGCAGAUAAUGAAAAGAAAAAACCUGGAAGAUUCUCCAAAGUGUAUCAAGAAAACUGGGAAGCAGGAUGCCAAGAAAACAAGUGGCUUGCUUCAGCUCUGAGACCUGACAGGCAUGGGAAUGUCAACAAAGAAGAAGUACUCAAAAGCACUACUGCUCCCAGGGACUGAGAUGCCUUUGUUUAGUGUCUGGGGUGAGGAAAGGAAGGACAAGAAUUUUAAGUCUCCAAUGCUGAGAAGACC